UGCAGUCGACGAGAAUCUGCGGAAAGAGGAUUCGUCCAAUUGAAGCAGAGGACAGUGGCGGACGGGUGAGUAACGCGUGAGGAACCUGCCUUUCAGAGGGGGACAACAGUUGGAAACGACUGCUAAUACCGCAUGACAUAUAGAUGUCGCAUGGCAUUUAUAUCAAAGAUUUAUCGCUGAAAGAUGGCCUCGCGUCUGAUUAGCUAGUUGGUGAGGUAACGGCCCACCAAGGCGACGAUCAGUAGCCGGACUGAGAGGUUGAACGGCCACAUUGGGACUGAGAUACGGCCCAGACUCCUACGGGAGGCAGCAGUGGGGAAUAUUGGGCAAUGGGCGCAAGCCUGACCCAGCAACGCCGCGUGAAGGAAGAAGGCUUUCGGGUUGUAAACUUCUUUUGUCAGGGACGAGUAGAAGACGGUACCUGACGAAUAAGCCACGGCUAACUACGUGCCAGCAGCCGCGGUAAUACGUAGGUGGCAAGCGUUGUCCGGAUUUACUGGGUGUAAAGGGCGUGUAGCCGGGAGGGCAAGUCAGAUGUGAAAUCCACGGGCUCAACUCGUGAACUGCAUUUGAAACUACUCUUCUUGAGUAUCGGAGAGGCAAUCGGAAUUCCUAGUGUAGCGGUGAAAUGCGUAGAUAUUAGGAGGAACACCAGUGGCGAAGGCGGAUUGCUGGACGACAAC
rnacentral:rRNA from 1 species